AGAGUUUGAUCCUGGCUCAGAACGAACGCUGGCGGCGCGUCUUAAGCAUGCAAGUCGAGCGGCAAGCUAUGUGUUUACACGUAGCCUAGAGCGGCGGACUGGUGAGUAACACGUGGGUGACCUACCUAAAAGUUGGGAAUAGCCGUUAGAAAUAGCGGGUAAUACCGAAUGUGCUUACAGGAAGAAAGUCUUGUAAGGAAAGGAGCUACGGCUUCGCUUUUAGAUGGGCCCGCGCCCCAUUAGCUAGUUGGUGGAGUAAAAGCCUACCAAGGCGAUGAUGGGUAGCCGGCCUGAGAGGGUGAACGGCCACACUGGGACUGAGAUACGGCCCAGACUCCUACGGGAGGCAGCAGCUAAGAAUAUUCCGCAAUGGACGAAAGUCUGACGGAGCGACGCCGCGUGGAUGAUGAAGGCCGGAAGGUUGUAAAAUCCUUUUGUCAACGAAGAAUAAGCGGAGGAGGGAAUGCCUUCGUGAUGACGUUAGUUGACGAAUAAGCCCCGGCUAAUUACGUGCCAGCAGCCGCGGUAACACGUAAGGGGCGAGCGUUGUUCGGAAUUAUUGGGCGUAAAGGGCGCGUAGGCGGUUUUGCCAGCCUGAUGUGAGAGCCUGGGGCUUAACCCUGGAAUUGCAUUGGGAACUGCAAGACUUGAAUCAUGGAAGGGAAAUCAGAAUUCCAGGUGUAGGGGUGAAAUCUGUAGAUAUCUGGAAGAAUACCGGUGGCGAAGGCGGAUUUCUGGCCAAUGAUUGACGCUGAGGCGCGAAAGUGCGGGGAGCAAACAGGAUUAGAUACCCUGGUAGUCCGC
rnacentral:rRNA from 1 species